GACGAACGCUGGCGGCGUGCUUAACACAUGCAAGUCGAACGGAAAGGCCCUGCUUUUGUGGAGCGCUCGAGUGGCGAACGGGUGAGUAACACGUGAGUAACCUGCCCUUGACUUUGGGAUAACUUCAGGAAACUGGGGCUAAUACCGGAUAGGAGCUCCUGCUGCAUGGUGGGGGUUGGAAAGUUUCGGCGGUUGGGGAUGGACUCGCGGCUUAUCAGCUUGUUGGUGGGGUAGUGGCUUACCAAGGCUUUGACGGGUAGCCGGCCUGAGAGGGUGACCGGCCACAUUGGGACUGAGAUACGGCCCAGACUCCUACGGGAGGCAGCAGUGGGGAAUAUUGCACAAUGGGCGGAAGCCUGAUGCAGCAACGCCGCGUGCGGGAUGACGGCCUUCGGGUUGUAAACCGCUUUCGCCUGUGACGAAGCGUGAGUGACGGUAAUGGGUAAAGAAGCACCGGCUAACUACGUG
rnacentral:rRNA from 1 species